rnacentral:rRNA from 1 species
UACAGAGGGUGCAAGCGUUGUUCGGAAUUAUUGGGCGUAAAGGGUGCGUAGGCGGCGCGGUAAGUCGGGUGUGAAAUCUUGGAGCUUAACUCCGAAACUGCAUUCGAUACUGCCGUGCUUGAGGACUGGAGAGGAGACUGGAAUUUACGGUGUAGCGGUGAAAUGCGUAGAUAUCGUAAGGAAGACCAGUGGCGAAGGCGGGUCUCUGGACAGUUCCUGACGCUGAGGCACGAAGGUCAGGGGAGCAAACGGG